CCUACGGGGAGCAGCAGUCGAGAAUCAUUCACAAUGGGGGAAACCCUGAUGGUGCGACGCCGCGUGGGGGAAUGAAGGUCUUCGGAUUGUAAACCCCUGUCAUGUGGGAGCAAAUUAAAAAGAUAGUACCACACGAGGAAGAGACGGCUAACUCUGUGCCAGCAGCCGCGGUAAUACAGAGGUCUCAAGCGUUGUUCGGAAUCACUGGGCGUAAAGCGUGCGUAGGCUGUUUCGUAAGUCGUGUGUGAAAGGCGCGGGCUCAACCCGCGGACGGCACAUGAUACUGCGAGACUAGAGUAAUGGAGGGGGAACCGGAAUUCUCGGUGUAGCAGUGAAAUGCGUAGAUAUCGAGAGGAACACUCGUGGCGAAGGCGGGUUCCUGGACAUUAACUGACGCUGAGGCACGAAGGCCAGGGGAGCGAAAGGGAUUAGAUACCCCAGUAGUC
rnacentral:rRNA from 1 species